rnacentral:lncRNA from 1 species
CUAAAACUUGUAAAGGGGCCAUUCUCGCGUAUAGUUGUCUCGUUAGCGAUUUUUUAUCUGAUCGUUAUAUAUUUAACGAUCGUGCUGAUCUACUGUUCAAAGAAGCAUCGUAGACAGUCAGUUUGUUCUCGUGGAGAAAGUUUAAAGUUAUGAGCUGGCUUUAAACACUGGCGACUGCAUUAGCGCGUGAAGUAACUGACGACUAAACAACACCAAGGUCGGUGCAAUCUUUCAACAGAUCGCUGAUAGUUCGGUUGGAUAGGAUUUCUUAGACACGGUUGACAGACUUUGCGCUGCACAUCGUGAGAUAUUACCUGACAAACUAAAAAUAGUUAGAUUUAUAGGUAGAGAAGAAGCGUAGGUUGUGCAAAAAUAAGAGUACGGGACACGGCGAAACUCGAUGAAGACGAUGAUAGUGGUUGAUCGUGUCAUAACGUUUAAAGUCUCUUCGUUCGUCAAAACGACGGUGAGAUUCGCAUAUAAAAAUUCGAUGACUGCAGUGGGAUUAACAUCUAAGUUUGUAAACGACAAUGAUCAAUAGCUUCAAGAAAAAAACAAACGAAAACCCAACAAGCAACUGCAAGGUAUCAAAAAUACGAUUAAUAUUCACUCGAUGAAAAACCUGCGAAAGACCUGCAAGUUCCAGAAACUUAAAAACUGCCCUAGCAACCAACGAGGAUCGAUGGGACGUGGAAAGGAUACGCACGAAGGACAAGAGUAAACGGGCUGCUUUGUCAAGGACGUGACUUGAUCCGUGCACUAGCGCGAACCUGCGUACACUGCGACUACCGUGGAACCUACUAGGCCGGUUUCAAG